GAGUUUGAUCCUGGCUCAGGACGAACGCUGGCGGCGUGCCUAAUACAUGCAAGUCGAACGAACACCGCAAGGUGUUAGUGGCGAACGGGUGAGUAACACGUAAGUAACCAACCUAUAAGACGAGGAUAACUAAUGGAAACGUUAGCUAAAACUGGAUAGGAUACAUAAACGUAAGUAGAUGUAUUUAAAAGUGCUAAGACACUACUUAUAGAUGGGCUUGCGGCGCAUUAGCUAGUUGGUAGGGUAAAGGCCUACCAAGGCAACGAUGCGUAGCCGACCUGAGAGGGUGAACGGCCACACUGGGACUGAGACACGGCCCAGACUCCUACGGGAGGCAGCAGUAGGGAAUCUUCGGCAAUGGACGAAAGUCUGACCGAGCAACGCCGCGUGAGUGAAGAAGGUCUUCGGAUUGUAAAGCUCUGUUAUUAGGGAAGAAAGGUAGUAGUAGGGAAUGACUAUUAAUUGACGGUACCUAAUGAGAAAGCCACGGCUAACUACGUGCCAGCAGCCGCGGUAAUACGUAGGUGGCAAGCGUUGUCCGGAAUUAUUGGGCGUAAAGAGUGCGUAGGCGGUCUGUUAAGUCUUAUUUGAAAGCCCAUGGCUUAACCAUGGAAGGUGAUAGGAAACUGGCAGACUUGAGUACAGGAGAGGAAGGUGGAAUUCCACGUGUAGCGGUGAAAUGCGUAGAUAUGUGGAGGAACACCGGUGGCGAAGGCGGCCUUCUGGCCUGUGUCUGACGCUAAGGCACGAAAGCGUGGGUAGCAAACAGGAUUAGAUACCCUGGUAGUCCACGCCGUANACGAUGAGUACUAAGUGUUGGGGGAAACCUCGGUGCUGAAGUUAACGCAUUAAGUACUCCGCCUGGGAAGUACGGUCGCAAGACUGNAAC
rnacentral:rRNA from 1 species